AUUUGAAUCCUGUGGGCCGUUGAAUGUGGCUGCUCGCGGUCGGCGUGCCCCGACGUACAGCGGGCCGGGAAAAGUGGCACUGACGCUCUGGAACUUCUGCCCAGCUCUCCUUGUAAAAUGAAUGAAAGUAAACCUGGUGACUCACAGAACCUUGCUUGUGUUUUCUGUCGAAAAAAUGAUGACUGUCCUAAUAAAUACGGAGAAAAGAAAACUAAGGAGAAAUGGAAUCUCACUGUACAUUACUACUGUUUGUUGAUGUCAAGUGGAAUUUGGCAGAGAGGCAAAGAAGAAGAAGGAGUUUAUGGUUUUCUAAUAGAAGAUAUCAGGAAGGAAGUGAAUAGAGCUUCUAAACUGUCUGGAAAUUAAGGAGGAUGGAAAAAUAAGCAGCUUUAUUCAAGAAGGUCUACAAGGGAAGCACAUAGAAACAUUUAUUAUUUUAGUUGAGGCAAAGAAGUGGAGGCAAUUAUUUUUGAAGAUAUCAAGAAGGUAGGAGAGUUAAUGGUAAAAACAGAGGUUCUAGGGCACAAGGAAGAACCUUGGGAGAAAGGUGAGCAUGAAUCUAAGGACUACGUGAGAUGUUAAACGUGAGAUAUUAGUAUCAUAAUUCCUAAACUUCCUGGUGAUAGUGAGCUUGUGGUAAAAGGUGGUCUCUAAAGGUCCCCUUAUGGUUUGGAACUACAGAUUGAAUAUCCCUUAUCCAAAAUGCUUGGAACCAGAAUUUUAGAUUUGAAAUUUUUUUCAGAUUUAGGAAUAUUUGCUUACCAGUUGAGCACCUCUAAUCUGAA
rnacentral:sRNA from 1 species